UGAUAUCCCAAUCAAAAUUUGAUUAGAUAUGUGAUGGCUUCUUUGGUUGAUGAUUAAUUUGGAAGUAUGUGAAAGCUGCUAAUAUACUUCUCUCUUACGUCUUCCAUCUGUUUCCAAACUUCUCUUUCCAUCCGAUCUCUAUCUCCUCUCCCCCCCUUUGGGACAAAUGACUGUUAUACUUGGAGCUAGAAUCCCGACGCAUGUGAUUGGUGAUUAUGGCUCUCAAAAUCGGUAUCUUUGAUAUUGUAAAUGCGCAGACUUGGGAUUCUUGAGCUGUAAAACGGGGACGGAAGACUAGUAAACAUGGCACUUUUAACCACUAAAAUUAGGCUAUAUGGUCGAUAAGCUUAGUUAUAGAGACAGGUAAAUUCGGCACUC
rnacentral:lncRNA from 1 species